rnacentral:rRNA from 1 species
AUUGAACGCUGGCGGCAUGCCUUACACAUGCAAGUCGAACGGUAACAGGUCUUCGGAUGCUGACGAGUGGCGAACGGGUGAGUAAUACAUCGGAACGUGCCUAGUAGUGGGGGAUAACUACUCGAAAGAGUGGCUAAUACCGCAUGAGAUCUACGGAUGAAAGCAGGGGAUCGCAAGACCUUGUGCUACUAAAGCGGCCGAUGGCAGAUUAGGUAGUUGGUGGGAUAAAAGCUUACCAAGCCGACGAUCUGUAGCUGGUCUGAGAGGACGAUCAGCCACACUGGGACUGAGACACGGCCCAGACUCCUACGGGAGGCAGCAGUGGGGAAUUUUGGACAAUGGGCGCAAGCCUGAUCCAGCAAUGCCGCGUGCAGGAUGAAGGCCUUCGGGUUGUAAACUGCUUUUGUACGGAACGAAAAGCCCUGGGUUAAUACCCUGGGGUCAUGACGGUACCGUAAGAAUAAGCACCGGCUAACUACGUGCCAGCCGCCGCCGCUGUAA